rnacentral:rRNA from 1 species
UAGGGAAUAUUGCGCAAUGGGGGAAACCCUGACGCAGCAACGCCGCGUGAGUGAGGAAGGUCUUCGGAUUGUAAAACUCUGUUCUUAGGGAAAAAUGUCUUAGUGGCUAAUAUCCAUUAGGAGUGAUGGUACCUAAGUAGAAAGCACCGGCUAACUUCGUGCCAGCAGCCGCGGUAAUACGAAGGGUGCAAGCGUUGUUCGGAAUCAUUGGGCGUAAAGCGAGCGCAGGCGGAUCAGUAAGUCAGGUGUGAAAUCUCGAGGCUCAACCUCGAAAUUGCGCCUGAAACUACUAGUCUAGAAUGUUGGAGGGGAUAGGGGAAUUUCACGUGUAGGGGUAAAAUCCGUAGAGAUGUGAAGGAACACCGGAGGCGAAGGCGCCUAUCUGGACAACUAUUGACGCUGAGGCUCGAAAGCGUGGGGAGCAAACA